GACGAAGAGGGUGGUGAUCAAUAUGGAUCUGGACCAUCUGCAACACAUUAGACGACUCAGACGACGUCUACCUCCACUGCAAUAUGAAUAUGUGCUCAAGUCUUAAAAGACUACCUGCCCUGGCCGCUCCAAAUGUCACAGUCAAAGACUCAAACAGCUCUAUACCUCUAUCUUUAGAUUCUUAAUUUUUUAGAAUAUUGAAAUUUGAGUCAUUUGUACGUAUUAUGUAUUUGAUUUGUAAUGUUGAUACAAUGUCCCUUAGACACUUUUAUAUU